rnacentral:rRNA from 1 species
GAUGAACGCUGGCGGCGUGCCUAAUACAUGCAAGUCGAGCGAACAGAUAAGGAGCUUGCUCCUUUGACGUUAGCGGCGGACGGGUGAGUAACACGUGGGUAACCUACCUAUAAGACUGGAAUAACUCCGGGAAACCGGGGCUAAUGCAGGAUAACAUGUUGAACCGCAUGGUUCUACAGUGAAAGGCGGCUUUGCUGUCACUUAUAGAUGGACCCGCGCCGUAUUAGCUAGUUGGUGAGGUAACGGCUCACCAAGGCAACGAUACGUAGCCGACCUGAGAGGGAGAUCGGGCACACUGGAACUGAGACACGGUCCAGACUCCUACGGGGGGCAGCAGUAGGGAAUCUUCCGCGAUGGGCGAAAGCCUGACGGUGCAACGCCGCGUGAGUGAUGAAGGUCUUCGGAUCGUAAAACUCUGUUAUUAGGGAAGAACAAAUGCGUAAGUAACUGUGCGCGUCUUGACGGUACCUAAUCAGAAAGCCACGGCUAACUACGUG